rnacentral:rRNA from 1 species
GGCGAACGCUGGCGGCGCGCCUAACACAUGCAAGUCGAACGAGCGAGCGAGAGCUUGCUUUCUUGAGCGAGUGGCGAACGGGUGAGUAACGCGUGAGGAACCUGCCUCAAAGAGGGGGACAACAGUUGGAAACGACUGCUAAUACCGCAUAAGCCCACGGUGCCGCAUGGCACAGAGGGAAAAGGAGCAAUCCGCUUUGAGAUGGCCUCGCGUCCGAUUAGCUAGUUGGUGAGGUAACGGCCCACCAAGGCGACGAUCGGUAGCCGGGCUGAGAGGUUGAACGGCCACAUUGGGACUGAGACACGGCCCAGACUCCUACGGGAGGCAGCAGUGGGGAAUAUUGCACAAUGGGGGAAACCCUGAUGCAGCGACGCCGCGUGGAGGAAGAAGGUCUUCGGAUUGUAAACUCCUGUUGUUGGGGAAGAUAAUGACGGUACCCAACAAGGAAGUGACGGCUAACUACGUG